GCGUUGUUCGGAAUUACUGGGCGUAAAGCGUGCGUAGUCGGUAUUGAGAGUCACGGGUGAAAUCCCAGGGCUUAACCCUGGAACUGCCUGUGAGACCUCAGUACUAGAGUGUGAGAGGGGAUAGUGGAAUACCCAGUGUAGCGGUGAAAUGCGUAGAGAUUGGGUGGAACACCGGUGGCGAAGGCGGCUAUCUGGCUCACAACUGACGAUCAGGCACGAAAGCGUG
rnacentral:rRNA from 1 species